rnacentral:rRNA from 1 species
CAGCCGCCACGGGAAUACGUAGGGUGCGAGCGUUAAUCGGAAUUACUGGGCGUAAAGCGUGCGCAGGCGGUUGUGUAAGACAGGUGUGAAAUCCCCGGGCUUAACCUGGGAACUGCGCUUGUGACUGCACAGCUAGAGUAUGGCAGAGGGGGGUGGAAUUCCACGUGUAGCAGUGAAAUGCGUAGAGAUGUGGAGGAACACCGAUGGCGAAGGCAGCCCCCUGGGCCAAUACUGACGCUCAUGCACGAAAGUGUGGGGAGCAAACAGGAUUAGAUACCCGUGUAGUCCCUGUCUCUUAUAC